AGUAAAACAUGCCAAAAAACACACAAAAAAAA
rnacentral:sRNA from 1 species